GUAAACAGUCACACCUCUGGGAACAAGCCCAAGCUCAGCUGAUCUUGGAAGCCAGCAGGGUCAGGUCUGGUUCAUUGUUGGAUGGUAGAACUUUUUCAACCAAAGAAUGGGAACUGUUUUCU
rnacentral:rRNA from 1 species